AGUUUGAUCCUGGCUCAGAACGAACGCUGGCGGCAGGCCUAACACAUGCAAGUCGAACGAACCUUUUAGGUGAGUGGCGCACGGGUGCGUAACACGUGGGAAUAUACACUUCGGUAAGGAACAACACAGAGAAAUUUGUGCUAAUACCUUAUAAUGACUCCGGUCCAAAGAUUUAUCGCCGAAGGAUUAGCCCGCGCUAGAUUAGUUUGUUGGUGAGGUAAGAGCUCACCAAGACUACGAUCUAUAGCUGGUCUUAGAGGAUGAUCAGCCACACUGGAACUGAGACACGGUCCAGACUCCUACGGGAGGCAGCAGUGAGGAAUAUUGGACAAUGGGGGCAACCCUGAUCCAGCCAUGCCGCGUGAAUGAAGAAGGCCUUAGGGUUGUAAAAUUCUUUCAGAUGCGAAGAUAAUGACGGUACCAUCAGAAGAAGCUCCGGCUAAAUUCGUG
rnacentral:rRNA from 1 species